rnacentral:snoRNA from 14 species
AGGACCAAGGUGAGAGUGUGUCAUGAACUAAGAAUUAUGAAUAAUCUAAUUCUGUGCAAUUAAGGUUUACA